rnacentral:rRNA from 1 species
UACGUAGGGGGCGAGCGUUGUCCGGAAUUACUGGGCGUAAAGCGCGCGUAGGUGGUUUGGUAAGCGAGAUGUGAAAGCCCCGGGCUUAACCUGGGAACGGCAUUUCGAACUGUCAGACUAGAGUGUGGUAGAGGGUAGUGGAAUUUCCUGUGUAGCGGUGAAAUGCGUAGAUAUAGGAAGGAACACCAGUGGCGAAGGCGGCUACCUGGACCAACACUGACACUGAGGUGCGAAAGCGUGGGGAGCAAACAGG